UAUUUCAUCGUCUUCUUCACAAAGCCGUGUUUCAACUCGCCAAAUCCAUGGCGAGUGAUUCAAAACCCAUAACCACGCGUCCCUCCAUCUCUCCUCUUGCCGUUUCUAACGGUUUCUGAUGCCAAGAUUCCCCUCUCCUCUCAUCACUCGAAUUUGAGAUAUAUCUCACGAUUGGAAGGUUCUGGGAAGGAUUGGCUGGAUGAAUGUGAGGCGUUGGAUUGAUUUCACUCAAUCCGAGCCCCACAUUCAUCAGGAGUUCGUUUUCAAAAAGGAACCUCAUCCGAUUUUUAGGGAGAGAAUUCUGGGGGGAUCUUUUUCAGUUUUGGGGAGAAUAUUUUGGGAUUUUUCUGAAAAUUUAGGAGGGAGGAUUUUGGAGAGAUUUCUUUUAAAGAAAAUUGAAGGGAAAAAUCAGUGUUAAAAGUUUUCUUCUUCUUUUCUAUGGUUCGUUUGUUUUCUUAUAUGAGAACGGAACAAAUGUUAUGGAGUUCCCUUGAUUUCAUUUGAUGUGAGUUUUAUUGAGCAUUUCGAAAUAAUAGAGUCUCUUCAUUUCGAUUCUGGAUUUUUGAGUAAACAUGGAAGUCGUUUGAGAAGCUCGAAUCUGUUGUUGCUCGAGGAUUGAUUUUCAGCUGCUGUUUGCUUUGUUCGAUCUCAUUUCUGGGCUAGUUCAGUGUUUCGAUUUCAGGUUCUUUGACUGACUCUUCCUCUUAUUUUACUCUUUGGUGUCAUUAAAGUAGGAGGAGGGCUUAGGAUAGGCAAGUAAGAUUGGUUUGAAUUCUUGAAAUGUUGAAGUUCGAGUGUUAAUAAAAGCAUAUUGUUGGUUUUGGGUUGACGACGAGUCUGAAUGAAUCCUCCCUGAUGUGCAAAUAUGUUCUAUUUUGUGUUGUUUUUGAGUUCAAAUGUCAUACAAUCCUGAAUCUGUCUGAUUUCGACAGGCUUGAUUGAAGUCAGAUUUGGUUUAUGAGUUUGUGGUUUACUGAAGUAUGUCAAUGUCACUGCUGAGAGAAGCUCGAUUAGUUCCUUUGAUGUUUUUGCAAAGUUUUCUUGCACGUGUUGUCUGAUUUGUGUCGGUAUGAGCAGCAUAUGCAUUUCUUUAGGCUUAAAUGAAUCAAAUCCAUGUUAUUUCACAGUUGUAGGUCUGUUCUUGCUUGCAGAAAGUUGAACGUUGAUUCAUGUUCGAGCUCAGGCUAAAAUGAGAUCUGAAAUGUUGUUCAUCUUUUUCCUGAUUCGAGUUACAUUUUUGUGUCUGGUUGUAUGCUUCUAUUGGACUAUUCUGCUGAAAAUCUGCUUUGUUCUGCACUGUUGGGGCAGCAUAUUUGCACAAUUUUGAGCGUAAAUCUUGCAUUGAUUUGGUCCACAGCAGCUUUGAAUUACUAGGCAGUUUAUGUGUAUAACUGAAGUUUGUUUGGUUUCAUGAGCGUUUCAUUAAUCUUCUCUGUUUGUGAUCCUCUUUGAAAAAGAAAGGUUAUUUCCUUUAAUCUGUCUUGUUGCAAGAAGGAGUUUGAACUCGUGUUUGGUGAAAUGAAUUCUAUAUACUGACCAAGAAAGGACUGAGGCCUAUCCAAAUUAGCAUUAAGAACUUGGAAAUUCACAAGUUAGAAUGGUUUAAUAACCAUAUUUCGUUGUUUAUGACUAAACUGAAAGCAAAUAGCUCGUCCUCUGUUUUCAGUUUGCAAGUGCUUUAGGAAAGAAUUAUUCUGUCUUCAAUCUUUUGCUAUUGGUUUUAAUGAGUCUGCUUGGCAGUUUCUGACCGACUCUACCACUAAUUUCAUAUGAGAAAAGAUACAUUUCUAUAUGAAUUCUAUAGCAUUUUAAACCUGUUGAUAUUUUGUAUAAAGUUGGGUUUUUUUUUGGUCCAAUAUAUGUUGUAAGAACGAGGGGGCGAAAUGGCUUUAGUCAAAACAAUUGAAGCAUCUGAUCCUUGUGAUGGUCACUUAGGAUACUUUGUACUCAAGCUUUGAAUUUACUUCUUGAAUUUGUUUGCAUGAAAAUUCGAUUGCUCUU
rnacentral:lncRNA from 1 species